AAUGAAGGAGGGGGGAAUGCUUUACACAUGCAAGUCGAGCGGCAGCACGGGGGCAACCCUGGUGGCGAGCGGCGAACGGGUGAGUAAUACAUCGGAACAUGCCCAGUCGUGGGGGAUAACACUUCGAAAGAAGUGCUAAUACCGCAUACGUCCUGAGGGAGAAAGCGGGGGAUCGCAAGACCUCGCGCGAUUGGAGUGGCCGAUGUCAGAUUAGCUAGUUGGUGGGGUAAGGGCCGACCAAGGCAACGAUCGGUAGCUGGUCUGAGAGGAUGAUCAGCCACACUGGGACUGAGACACGGCCCAGACGCCUACGGGAGGCAGCAGUGGGGAAUUUUGGACAAUGGGGGCAACCCUGAUCCAGCCAUUCCGCGUGAGUGAAGAAGGCCUUCGGGUUGUAAAGCUCUUUCGGCAGGAACGAAACGGCGAGCUCUAACAUAGCUUGCUAAUGACGGUACCUGAAGAAGAAGCACCGGCUAACUACGUG
rnacentral:rRNA from 1 species